CAACACAUCACACACAAGAAACAGUUGUGCUCAUGUGAUGGGGGCCUCAGCACUAGGAAGGAGUGGACUGUUGGCGCACGCAGCAGCUUGAAUAAAUCUGAAAGUCACUACGCUGCGUAAGAGAAGCCAAAUAAAGCGCAUGCUGUGUACAGAGGGUGUCGAGAAUGCCUCCUACGUGACGGAAAGCAGAUCCGUGGUUCCCUGCAGACUGGCAGGAGCAGAUUCCAAAGGCACAGGAAGAAGCUUGCAGCUGACAGAAACUCAUGACAGCCUGCUUUAGAUGAAGGGGGAGAGAAGGACUGGAAGAAUCUUGGAGUUGGGAAUGUCACACGUAAUUGAAGGAAGAACAAGAAAACUAUAAUUCUUCCCCUGGAGGCUGGAGUUUCCAGGAUGUCAAAAUUACCUCUGCUUGGGUGAGCUAUUUCAAGCAGCUGGGAUACCUGUGUCACUCCUGCUGUCUGCCAGUGACUGCCCAGGUGUCUGCUGGUUCCUCCCCAGGAGUAGGGAGGAACCAGGUGGGCUGGCUGGGAUGGGUGGAUAUUUAAAGACCAGGCCUUGGACGCUGCAGCACUUCUAUCUCUGCUUGAUGCCUGCUGCCACGUGGCUGGUCCUCCUCCUCCUGCUGUGGCUGAGCCUUGGGGUGAAGACAGGCAGCUGCUCCCAACCCCAGAACCUUUGCUGUCUUGGGACGGAUCACCGCUGCAAGAGGGGAAGUUGCUACUGUGAUGAAUUCUGCCAUGUGGCACCAGACUGCCACCCAGACCACAGUGUCCUCUGCAACCCUGCUUCUCAGAUGACCAAGAUGGUGCUGCAGAUGGUGCUGAGGAUGGAGAACCCACCAAGCCC
ensembl:lncRNA MUC20-OT1 MUC20 overlapping transcript